GCUCAGUCCGAUCGUGUCUUCGCCCCACGCCUCCACAGAGAGGUGGAGAAAAGAGAGAGAGAUAGCGAAGGAGGUGGUACGAUUCGGAUUCGAUCUUCCCUGCGUAGAUUGGCUGAACGCAGAAAGCCUUGGAGAUUUCAGGUUGGGAAAGCUUUCGCAGUGUUCGUUUUGGGAGGCAGAAGGCCUCAACUAAGGCUAUUCAGGGAUUCGAGAGAAGGAGGAAGACCAUAACAAAGACGUACUUCGUUGGCUGAGAAUUUGCGGUUGGAUAUAACUUUGUUUAGUAUUGAUUUCAAAACUGUCCGAGCUCAUCUAGAAGACGGAGUUCAGGCUAGAGCAAGAUGUUCACAGAAAGUGCUGGAUUAUUCAGUUUUGUUUUCUGGUCAGGAAGCUGGAUUUAGAAAUGGAUAGAAAGAAGGAAUGAAAGAAAGAGAGAGGUCCGUUCGAUCUUUUGUUGUUGGUUGCUGAUCAAAGGAUUGUUGAUAGGGAGAGAAUUUUCAUCUGUUCCGUGUUUGUCGGGUUAAAAGAUUAUUCCCAACCACUAUCUUGCUUCAAGUCAUUUUCUUCAGUGAGUACCAGACCCAGCAAGGGUAACCAAAGCACCACAGCAAGUAAGUUUUCAAAUGUUGCAGAUAUAUAUUCAUCAGGGUAAUUGAUUCUGUCUUUGCUCAAUUUCUGGUUUUCAAGUAAAGUCAGUUGCUUCUUCACAGCUAAAAUGGGUUCCAUUUAUGCAAUUUGGUGAAUUUGAGGGAUAGAUUUUUUUUUUGUGGUUGCGUGUAAUUUUGUAACAUUUGUUCUUAGUUUUUGAGGGUGUACUUUGUUUAGUGAUAUACUGUUAUACAGCUGCAAUCAGGGAUGUAGUGAAAGACAUCAAUUGAGAUUGGUAUAAGACGGUAGUGUAUCUGUUUCAUUUGAUCGAGUGUGGUUUCUGCUUAUUUUUAGUUGUUUGCUACUUUAUUUUCUGCUAUACCUGUUUCAUUUGAUCAACUGUGGUUUCUGCUUACUUUUAGUUGUUUACCAUGUUUUUAUUUGAACUGUCCAUAUUUGAAAUUCAUGGAGCACAUGGGUACCUUAGAAACAUGAACUGUACUACAGAAGAUCAUAGUAAAUGAGAAGGAGAGGGAAUUCAUGAUUAUAUGUAAUGAAAUCAAAAUUGAUCGCGAGAUUAUUGCUGGAACUGAGAUAGAACAUAAUGAGUCUGGUAUAACACCAAAAUUGGUCAUGUACUGUUAAAGGUGGAAGUAGUACAUAGUAGCUUCCUUUAGCAUGGUAUAUAUUUGGUUAAUGUGAGAGUUCACAGUUACUUGCAUAUACUCUUGCAAAGGAAAGGGUUGGUCUCCUACUUUGAUAUUCAACAGAUGAAGUUUCUCAUUCAGAGGAAAUGAAUUGCUAUUAAUUAUUUCAGAUUUCAGUUUAGCCUCUGUUCCACCUUCUCUUUUAAGUUUUGCAUAUAAAUUCUAUAGAUUUUUCAGCACCACCAGUUCAGAAAAAACAGGAAAUUAAAUAGAAUAGAAAACUAUAUAAUGUUCCACAGUCAAUACUCCAAUUCUCAAAAGCAGCUCACUAUAAUUUGGCUUUGUUUGCCAUGGACUGGGAACCACAUAGUUUGAAGAGACAAUUAAUUGACAUAAGGUCAUUUGUUAGUCAUUUGUGCUCUGCUUGGUGUCUAGGUUUGGAUAUCUGUUAGUCAUUUGUUCUUUAUGGCCCUGUUUGGUGUCUAGCUUUGGAUUGUGGAUCCAAGCUCACGUUUAGAUUGAAUGAUUAAUAAUGGAAGAAACAGAGACUAACUUCCAACUUUGAUCCAAUUUAAGUAAAGAGUUUACAUCCCACCAUUUUGUGUUCAUCAGGAGGAGUUUCCUCCCUGGAAACAAUCCAACUUUCUUUGACUUGAAAAUUUCCAAUUGAAAAUUUAAGUUCAAUUCUGGCAGCUAGGUUAUUCUUCCCCACUGUGUUCAUAUUGGUUGUUUAUCACUCUCCCUUUUGAACAUGAAAUUGAUGAUCUCUGAAGUUGGUUUAGAUUACAAGUAAACCAUAUUGUUCACAGUGAGAUGAGUUUUGAUAAAAGAUGACAUAUAGGCAUUUGAUUGCUCAUAGUGACAUCAACUUGGCUUCACUUUAUGAUUCUAUCUUGAUAUGAUGUAUACCAAGUUUCCUUUUGAUUCAAGUCAACUUGAAAGUCAAUGAAUCCAUAAUUGUUAUAUAAUUAGUUAAUGAAUGCAUUGCUGGAUCAACAACUUUUUAAGCUUAGUACAUCUAAGUCUGACCAACUUUAUCUCUUAUCUGUUCAUCUAUA